rnacentral:rRNA from 1 species
GGAAACGAUAGCUAAUACCGCAUAACAGUAGAUGUUGCAUGACAUUUGCUUAAAAGGUGCAAUUGCAUCACUACCAGAUGGACCUGCGUUGUAUUAGCUAGUUGGUGGGGUAACGGCUCACCAAGGCGACGAUACAUAGCCGACCUGAGAGGGUGAUCGGCCACACUGGGACUGAGACACGGCCCAGACUCCUACGGGAGGCAGCAGUAGGGAAUCUUCGGCAAUGGACGGAAGUCUGACCGAGCAACGCCGCGUGAGUGAAGAAGGUUUUCGGAUCGUAAAGCUCUGUUGUAAGAGAAGAACGAGUGUGAGAGUGGAAAGUUCACACUGUGACGGUAUCUUACCAGAAAGGGACGGCUAACUACGUGCCAGCAGCCGCGGUAAUACGUAGGUCCCGAGCGUUGUCCGGAUUUAUUGGGCGUAAAGCGAGCGCAGGCGGUUAGAUAAGUCUGAAGUUAAAGGCUGUGGCUUAACCAUAGUUCGCUUUGGAAACUGUUUAACUUGAGUGCAAGAGGGGAGAGUGGAAUUCCAUGUGUAGCGGUGAAAUGCGUAGAUAUAUGGAGGAACACCGGUGGCGAAAGCGGCUCUCUG